rnacentral:sRNA from 1 species
AGGCAAAUCCUAAUAUGGGGACGAAGUCCCCAAUAACAGUAGAAAAUUCAAUAAAAAAAAAAAAUUCGGGAAAAUUUCCCGAAUUUUUCAUUGUA